rnacentral:lncRNA from 1 species
CCCCCAAGAUUUCUUUGAAAGCGGUAUGUGUAGAAGACCAGAGUUGGAAGAUCGGAGGGUACGUGUGGGUUGGUAGAGGUGAACUAAAGACUGGUUGUAUUCAGGAGCUGUUUUGUUCAUGAUUUGAUGAACUAAAAGAAGGAUUUUGAAAAUUAUACGUUCUUUUACAGGCAACCAAUGGAGAUUUUGUAAGAUAGGAGUAAUGUGACUAUGUUUGCUUGACAGAGUAAUGAUGCGUGCAGCUGCAUUUUGUAGUUUUUGUAACUGUGCAAUUUGUGAAUUUGGUAAAUUAUAGAGUAAACUGUUGCCGAAAUCCAAACGUGAAGAAAUAAGUGAGUGAACAAGUUUCUCUGUUGCCGAACGAGUCAGAUAUUUCCGUAUGAAGCCAAUAUUGCGCAAUUGAUAGCGAACUGAUCUGGAAAUGCUUGUGAUUUGUUUGGACAUAGACAUUAAGCCCGAGGUCUCUGUCUUUUUGUUGUCAUAUAACUCUAUCCCUAUAGACCCUGUACAAUACCUUGUAUCUAGUGGUACCAUGGAUGGAACGUUUUAAUUUAACAAACUAACAUCAAUCCUUUAAAUAGAUUAUGUAAUGUAACAAUUCCAAAAUAUUAUAUUUAUUACCUGUAAGUAUUAAAAAAGUGGGAUAUAUCAUUAUGGACUGUUUGUUUUAACCCUCCUUAUGCUUUCAAGGGACAAAUAAUAGCUUGGUCGUGGGAAGUGUUCCUGGUGAGGUAUAAAUGAUAUGUUUAAGCCCAGAAAUUAUCCCCAAAGAAAUGUACAUGCAUUAGGUUAGACUAGGUUUAAUGUUUCACUCUUUCGUCUUCACUGAACUUAUUAAUGGUAAAUUAUAUAGCUAGUUGUUAAGUUUUUUUGUUGGAUGUUUUCUUGUCCAAAAUUUCAAAUAUGAAAAAAUAAUCAUUUUGCACAGUACUUCAUGAAAUAUUGAAAAUGUGAUAUGUAGAAUACAGAUGCUUUUACAUUAUAGAAUCGUCAUCGUUUAUUUUAAUGUUGAACUUACUUGGAAACCAUUGUAAGGUACAUAGUAUACAUACAGCUAAGUGCUCCACUACCCCCUUGUAACUUCCUCCCUUAGAAUAUUAACAUUAGCCGAUUGUAUUGCAGGCUAGGGUCGUAAAAUUUCCACUUUUCGUUUUUUCUGGGGUUUUGGGGGUAAAUAUUUCGAGGAUAGUUAUCCUCGAAGUCGAGGCCUUAUUUAAAAGAUAAGGUGUAACUUGCUUUUGUUCUUUAUAUCUAUUCUUAUAUUUUUAAAAGUGUCCACAAUGGUACAUUAAUAAAUUUUCCUUGUUAAAGAGAAGGAUGAGUUCUGGGAAAGGCUGGGGAAAAUAAUUCGUGAACCUUUUCAUUCUUUUUUAUGAUAUAAUGCAUUUAUAAUUUUUUAUAUAUAUAUAUAUAUAUAGCUACACUAUAUACAGAUGAAAUAUACAGAUACAGUUACCGCACGAGAAAAAAAUAUACAUGAUGUACACUUUUUAAAGAGGUUAAAAAAAGACAAAUUAGGGAGUAGAUUAAAUAAGAAAGAAUACAGUAUAAAGUAUCCAACAAGUGAUUAAAACCUUUCUAAAGUUACGGUUUGUUAUAUCUAAGGAAAUCCAUAUUUUCCUGUGAAAAACAUAGAUUUGCUAUAAAAAAACAACACAACCGUUCUACUUUUUGGCAAGUGAUAAUCAUUGAAUUGUCUAGUUUUGUAUGUAAGUAAUGUAUUGUGUUUUUUUUGUUUUUUUUACUUCUUCAAGACAAAAGGUAUGAUAUUCUUAUCAAGUUUGUAUUAAAUUGAUAUAACUGUAAUGGAUAAUGGUCUUUUAUCUUAGGAAUGUGAUUUUGGCGAAAUAAAAUAUCAGCUAGUGCUCUAAAGGAGGUAUUACACUUUAUUCCCGAAACUAAUUUCUGGAGCAGUAUAAUAAUCCUGACAUCAGAUGGUUCAACGUCGAAUAAACAAAUUAGUUGUAAGAAAUACCUUGACAAAAAUGUAAAUUCACAUGUUGAUGUUUAUACUAGGUACCCUUUUACCCUCUCCCCCCCCCCUCUCUCUCUCUCUCUCUCUCUCUCUCUCUUUAUCUUAUCUCAUAUCUUUUCUUCUUUCUUCUAUACUAUCUCUCCUUUCUAUGGUGCCAUCAAUGUGAAUAUGUCUUGUAGCACUUUCUCUCAUUUGUCUUUCAUAUAUUUAAAUAUACAUUUAAAUAUACAUUUAAAUAUACAUUUUAUGUAAAUAAUUGUUAAGGUAUUAAAUAUUUUGUAAUUGUAAUGUUAUUGCAUUUUUAAAAAAAUAUUUCUUUUUGAAAUACUGUUUGUAUAUACAACCUUGUGUUAUCUUUUUGUAUGUCUAUGUCUAUGUCUUUAUUGAAUUUGAUUUUUGUACCUUGCAAGAGUUUUCAACUCCAGCUGAUUGUGACAGUGAUCAUGGUCCUAUAGAAGCAUACUAAUCACCAGAUGAAUAUAAACAAUAUGUGUCACUUACAUACUCACCAAAUAGCAUUGCUAAAAGGUGUUCAUGUUUUCAUGUUAACUGUAGCAGCCUAUGUCGUAACUUUGAUAACUUUUUGUUUUGUUAGUUCUUUGUCAAUGCAACCUUCUGUUAUUGGUAUAUCUGAAACAUGAAAUAACGAUCAAUCUCCGUUAUCUCUGUAUAAUCUUGAAAAUUAUGACUAUGUAAAUAAUAAUAUUAUAUAUAGAAAGAACA